UAGAAGGCCUCUGCUUAACAGAAGAAAUGAGGGUAGGGCUUAAUCCCUUGCUGGCAACCAUCUCAAUGACAGAAUGUGGUAAUUGGCAGUGCAUUCUCUUCUUUAAUCCAAAAAUCAGCGAGAUAAUAUAUCAGAACUAUGUUUUGAGAGUCUACCUGAGUGAUGAGUUGCAAAACAGAAGCAAGCACCUGUCCUACACAUCCUCUUGCUGACAGUCAAGAGAUGAGCACUCGCGUUGCUGUAACGAUUCUCCUCUUGGGGUCACAGAAAGGGAUGGAUGACUGUGGUCCUGCUGGCAAAUGGCACGUUUUCCCUGCUCAAAUGCCAGUUUUAGGUGGAGUCUUUCUGAUUUCACUAGAUCAUUACCUCUAUAGGCCCCAAAAGAGGCAGGGUUGUUGUUUGUUUGUUUACUUUUCAAGUCACCUCUCAGUUCUUAUUGAAGAGCAGUCCAUUAUUGUAAAUGAUUACGUUAACCUCUCUUGCCUGGAGGUCCUUCUCCCCACCUUAAUACCUCCCUCUGGCCAAGAAUUCCUGUCUUGCAGUGCAGGUGAGGGGCAUGGACUUCUCACUUCUAUUGAAAGGAAGGAGGUUAGCUAUUUCCAAAGACCAAGUCAACCUUUAAAUGUGCAAAUACUUUUUUUAUUAAUCUCUCCUCCUUCCAGUAGUUUUCCCUCCCAUCCAGCUAUCAGAGUACACAGGCACCAUUGCUUCAUGGAGAGCACUGGAUUUUCUGCAUGUCAGUUCAGCCUGAGUACAGUUUUACAGUUUUAAUCUUUUUCAGGUAUCGGGCCAUCCUUCUUCAGGCUAUUGUAAGACAACCUCCUUUUGCUGAGGGAUUUCCUCUGAAAAAGGAUCAGGUUUUUGGCAUCUAACACAUCCCCCACCCUCCUUUCUCUUUCCACAGUCUUUCUAUCGUAGCUCGGAUCUGCACAGCAAGUUUCUGCCAGCAGGACUGCAGCCAGAACUAUAAUGAGACACGUUAGGGUGGGGUGCAGGGAUGUCACAGUUGUCCGCUACCUUGCCUUAAUGAGCCAUGCUUGCAAACAGGCUGUUUUGUAAUAUAAUCUCAAUGAGUGAAUGCAUUCCUUUCAUAAGCAUAGCUUUAGAUAGUGGGAUGUACUGGUAAAGAGAAACUUGGUUUGCUAGGAACCUUUCAUUAAUGCUGGUCCUCAUAUGUUCACAUGUAUGGGUGUGCAAUGGUAGCAUGCUCUUUCUUCAUUCACUCCACCCAUCUCCACUCACUGAGAAUCUUGUGCAGAGUGGGGAAAUGCAAGCUCAGUGAGCCUUUGUUUGCUCUAUUGGAUAUACAUUUGUAAAAGAGAGAUGGAGAGAGAUUCUGUUGCCUUCUUCUGGCUGAAGAGAUAUCAUCUAUUACCUGGCACCACUAUCUAUCUUAAUGCUGUUUUAUGCACAUUUUGUGCCCAAGGUUAAUAUUGGCAAUGUAUGCAGGACAGUGGAGAACUUGGUUGUUGUUUCAGGAGUUUAAUGCCCGCCCAUCUUUACCAGCAUUGACAUGUUGCUGCAUCUUGCAACACUGCCACUCACCUUUCUUUCCAAGGGUGUUUUUUGUUUUUCUAGUUUUUUUGGCAAGUAGUCCUAUAAAAGUGAGCAUGACAGAGACAUUUCUCACUUGCUUUUUAGAUAUUGGUACAUAAUUAGCCUCUAUGCAUCAGUCUCUAAACGUUGCUCACAUGCAUUGGCAUGGGGAAAAAGUGUGACAAGGCAAAACAAAAUCAAAUGGCUGAAAGCACAGUGAAUUCAGACCAGAAGGCAUAGUGUAAGAAUAGCUGGACAGAGGGAUACUUUGCUGUUGGCAUGAUUUUCCCAGGCUGAAAAGGAGAGAAAUUUUUUUUCUACUGUGGAAAAUUGUCAUGAUAAGGCUGGGUAACAACUGGAGGAUGACACAGCCAUUAUGGUUUGCUCUUUCUAAUGUUAACCUCUAACAAUCUAUAAAUAAUGUGUAGGUUUCCACAUUCUGCAGUUUAUCAGCAGGAUGUUUUGUCACUUGCUUUAUGAUCCUAGAUCGCUGCUUUGGUUUAAACAGCAGUGAACAUAUCCCAGCCUAGGGCCUGAGAGGUGUCUGGGGUCUUGGGCUCAGCUGGAACACAUGCAAUGCUGUCCUCUCAGCUGCGACAACUGGCUGACACUGCAAAACAUGCAGGAACCCUAAAAACAAAAGAGGCAGAAUGGGAAGGAAGGAGACUCAUGGCUAGGCAAGCGGCCAGCUUUUCUGCUUUUUCCUCUGAGCCUCCACUUCUGGAAGUCUCUGCUUGCAAUGUCCUUACUACCAACUGAUGCGUUAGCUGUUCAUUUAUGGGGAAUUAUAACUAAAGGGAACUGAAGCGGUAUCUGAAAUUCACUUCCGCUUGGGCCACAGAAAGGCUGUCUGAAUUCCUUCCCCUUUUGGCUGCUCAUGCUGCUCUUUUGAAAGAGCACCAUUAUAGCGUUAUAACACUGCUGUAUUUACAGUGUUGCUUUACAGCUACAGCUUUCUCAAGCAGUGAGCUUUUGCCUAUCUUUACUGAUGUGAAGAGUAUGUGAUGAUGGCAGGUAAGCUGGGGUUUCUGUGCAGGCAGGCUUUUAGUAUGAUUAUAUUACUAGUGGAGUGAGUUUUCCAUAUGUAUGAGAACAAAAAAAUGUUCCUCACUCCGUCAGCCUAGUUGGUUCUGCCGUGAAGACCAGCUGAGAGGGAAGCCAGCAAAAAAAUGUACCUAACAAGAAAAUAUGUUUUUCUAAUGAACAGUUGUGACAAACUUGAUAGAUACUUCUGGCCGUAAACAUUUCUAGCAUUUAAGAAUAUUUAAAUUUCAGAUCUGUAUUAGGAGAUCCUGUCACUUGCACCUAUUGCUUCUGAUAAGGACAGGAGGUUAAAAAGAAACAGACCAGCAGAAAUGGAGUGUGUCCGUGUGGGGCUUAGCAGUUGGUUGCAAUAGAGGUUGUGCUGCUGCUCUUUCCUAGACCAAAAUAAACCAAUGGCGAUUCUGUUGAGGUCACUUAGUAGUUAAAAGCAUGUCAUUUGGGGCUUUAGACAAGUGCAAAGUUUUAAUGAUGUGAAAAGCAUCUCAGAACAGCAAUGAGCAUAGGCUAUCCCCAAACUGGGCAAUUGGUAGGAAAUAAGUAGAUAAAUCAUCAGGUCUUUGAUCUUAGUCUCAAGAAAAAAAGUGUGCAGAAACAGGGCUAGAUAUCUGAGGACAAAAUCACAAAGGCUAAGCAGCAAAAUGAGAUCCAAUUAACAAGAGACUUUAAAGUAACAAGUAGUGUUUUUAUCACUAUAGCAGCAAGAGGACAAUCCAGGCGCCCCUCUGCAGUGGAAAAGACAGUCUACGGACAGAUGUUGGCUAGAAUCCCAGGGCGUUUCAUACAUUUACUUGCUUUUUUUUUUUUUUCUUUCACUUCAGAUAACUAUUGCAAUCAAUGUCAAUGACAGAAGGGGGAUGAGAUCACAAAAAGUAGAGCAGAGAAUGAGUUAGAAAAUCUUUCUGUGUGUUAGUGUCCAAGUCAGUUGGGCCAGAUGAAUUUCAGUCUGGGGUAAUUGCACCAGCCAAUUAUUUAACCUCUAGUCCUAGCUGUAACCUAGCCUAGCUUCUGGAAUGUUACAGACCCCCAAGAACACGCUGGGAAGCCUGGAAAAGUGCAGGCGUAGUUCCUGCCUUUAAAAGGAAAAAAAGGAGGAGCCAGGCUUUGCAGAUUGUUCAGUUUAACUUCAAUUCCCGGAAAAAUACUGGAACAAACAAUCAAACUUUUGUAAGCACGUAGAAGAAAACAAAGAGAUGAAUAAUGCCCAAUGUAUAGUUGUCAAAAACAAAUAUCUGUGUAAAAUGGAUCAAACUACCUUUCAUGUCAGAGUAAAAAAACCUUGUUGAUAAGAGAGAAGCAAUAGUUGUCCUCUAUUUUGACUGUGGGGAGGCUUUCGUCACAGUGUAAUGUGAUACUCGUAAGCAAAUAAAGGGAACCUGUGCUAGAUGGGGCUGGCCUAGGGUGAUGCAACAUUAAUUGGAAAACCACACACAGAGAAUAGUUAUUAACAGUCCUUUAGAAAGGGAAAGGCGGACCAAGAAGAGCUGUUUGAGAGUCUGUACUGGGUCAGCAUGAAUUAAGGUGAUUACGAACAGCUUGGACAACAGAAUAGGGAAUAUCAUAUUCUUGUCUACCGCAGAAUUGGAAGGGAACUAUAGAUAUACUGAAAUAUAAAACUACAGUUAAAAACUAGUUAGACAAAUGGUCUCCAAAGUAGGAACCAUUUCAGUAAAGGAGGUUGUAAGUUUCUGUACAUGGGCAUUGCUGGGAAUAAUUAAUUUUGUUUAUAGAGAGUAGUUAAAUAUUUUCCCAAGUAGCAACUGUACAUAAAAAUAUCUGAGAGAUGUUUCAGAUCACAAUUCAAAUGUGAGUUAAUUGCUAAUGCGAAAAGGGCAAAUGCCUGCUGAGGAUGUGUAAAUAGGCAUGGACCCUAUAAGUAAGCUUUUAGCUCAGUUCUCCGUGGGGCCAUAGUUCAGUUAUGGGUGCUGUGUUCAAGACAAGGUUCAGAGGAUGGCAAUGGGAAUAAUCAGAGUUCUUGAAAACAAGACCUAGGAGGAAAGAAUGAUCGAAGAGGUGGUAUUUAGUCUAGUGAAAACUGAAGGAGAUGGGGCUCCUUCUGUUGAUUACGUGAAAGGUGGCUGGGAAAAGGAGAAUAUGUUGUUUUCCAUGCCCCUGACGGAUAGGACAAAUAGUGAGCUUAAAUUAUAGCAAAGGUUAGAUGUUAGAAGAAAGAAAACAUUAAGGAUAAUGAUGCCCAGGAGUAUCUGAGGAGGCUGUGGACUUGCUGUCCUCUGUUUAGGAUGAGGUUAGACAAGCAUUUGUCAAGAGUGUUUUAAGUAUAAUGAUCCUGUCUUGGGAUAUGAGUCUGGACUAAAUGAUCUUCUGAGAUCCCUUCCAGCCAUAUAAAUCUCAGAUUCUAUCCUGACUGCUGAAGAAUGUCAGUAUUACAAGUGCUCCGCAUUUGUGGUUUGUGAUGCUUUCUUUCAUGAGUAAGAGCCAAGUCUUGCAGGAGCGAGACGUGCUGCUUGCGAGUUUGCAGGAAAAUGGUUUUGGUGGCAGGUAAUGCCAUCAAAGAAUGAGACCUCCUUGGAUUAUGAGGAUAUUGUGCUGCAAGGUUUCUCUUGCAUUUAAAUGUCUCUGAAGCUAACCAGAGUGAUGAUGCAUGACACUAGCCUUGAAAGCACUGAUCAGUAUAAAACAUCCUUCCUGUUGUGCCUGCGUGCUAAUUGCAGCCAAGGAGAGCUGGCCUCCCUGAUCUACAGAAUACAAGAGCGCUCGCCUCCGUUUUGGUGGGAACCAGAGUCCUGUUCAGCCUGCAGCGCUGGCACUAGUGACGCAGGCUGGCACUAGCAGCACUAAAGCUGCCACAGGCUCCAUCAGACGCUGGGGAAUAGAAAUGCGAGCAAUUGUUUUUUGGUCUGGAGUCCCCACAGGGCAUUAGGGACAGAGUUUGCUAUGGAUUAUUUUCUGCAAGCACGUAGAGGAGUUUGCGUUUCUCUAAGAAUUCAAAGGGUGAUAAGUGGAAAGGGGUAGGAGAAAGACAGAAAUACACUUUUUUUUUUUCAGUUUCCAAAGAUGGCUUUUACAAACAUCACUAUAUAAAUAGAGGGGGGGAAAAAAAAAAAAAGGAGGCUCGUAUUAAAGAGGUGACUAACCCAAUGUCCCUUGGAAAAAAACCCAGCAGAGAGCAAACACUGAAGUCCUUUAACUCCGUGUCAUAAUUUAUAGCAGGUUUGCAAUUGUGAAAUCUCUCAGCGACGUGGGACAGAUGUUAUGGUGAGGAAAAUAAAACAAACAGACAGCGGGAUGGGAAAUGCAGAGAAGAUGAAAUGACACCGUGUUGUAAUCCUUAUGGGAAAUCUCUAUACAGCUUUCCAAAAUACUGUACUGGUGAGCAAUUAGGAAACUAGACAAGCUAUAUAAACAGAGCCACUAGAGGUCUGUGACUGUUCCCAUGCAGUUUCCUCAGCGAGCAGGAGCCUCAAGGCAACUUUGGGGAGGGGAAAAUUUCUGCCCACCAUCUUCUCAAUGGUCCCUUUAAUAUUCUGUCCAGAGCUAUUUGCGUAAGAAAUGCACACUAGUGGAGGUUUUCCAGUGCUUGCUCCUGUUCCUAUGGCAGUAGAUCAAAGGCAGUAACAAUACAGAGUUAAUUAAUUCAGGAGAAGGAAUUCCCACUUGCAGUGGUCUCAACCCAGCAGUGGAGGGAAGGUGUCAAUCAUAAGGGCAAAGGUGCUGAAACUGGCAUGGAUUUGUGGUUGUUUUUUUCCCCUCACUAAGGAGGGGAGUUAAAUGGUAAAUGUCACCUGAGCUGCAGAAAAAACUUCAGGAAAGAGUUUUAUAUAAUACCAAGAGCUUAUGGGUGAGUAGGAGCCAUCCAGCUUCAGGAAACCUGAAUGAAAACUGGGCCUGCAGUUUUCUAAAAGGAAAUGUCUUCGAGGGAAGUGUAUUUCCCCAUCCAGGUCAAGUUUAUAGAACAUCCUGCUCACCUCUGCUCAGGGCUCCUAUUCCCACAUUAAAGACCAGCAGCAUCUCAAGGGCAGCAAAACUGGUGAAAGGAAGCUAUGGGGAGGAGCUCAUCUCCUGGUUCUGCAGCCUUCCAGUUCUGUGCAGUUUGCAGGAGCAAAUGGAUCAAAAUGACUGGGAAGAACCUCAGUCAUUCAGUAGUACCCAGAGGAGUGUGGGCAAAACCCUUGUACAGGGAUAACUGCUGAACAGAAAGCAAAGCCUUUCUGGAGGCAAAGCAUGGGGCUAGCCACUGGCACACCUGGGAUUUCUAGAAUGCCUUGAAGGCGAGAGGGGAAGAAGAGGAGAAAGUUUGCUGAUUUUUCUUGGGCUAGAAGUUACCCUACUAGUAAUCUGAUUCGUACUUAAAAAGAGAACUCUUAAAGAGAACAAUGGCAAAUGAAAAUGUGGGAAGAGUGACUAUUUGCCUGUCAAAAAUGUGUUGUCCCUUAGUGGGAAUGGAACAGGAGAAAGGACCACACAUGAAAGAAAAUAAUAUGCUAUUCUACUGAUUUUAAAUGAAUUUAUUUAUUCAGUUAACGGCUUCACAAAUACAUUUUUUUUCUCAAAUUAAGUGUCAGAUACACUGUUUCAGUCAUAUCAGGAGUAAGGCUCCUGUUGACUUUUCCUUAAACAACCACAAUAUUAAAGUUGAAGUCAGUUUAAGAAUCUGUCACCCUUUUCCCUUUCUGGCCUUGCUUUCCGUUUCAUAUGCGGCUCACCUAACUUGAUCUUAAUUUAUUUCUCAGUGUGGGGGAAGAGACCGACAGGAUCCUUCAGGGGAUUUCUGCAAGCAUGCUGUCAACCACCAGCACUGAGCAAACAGAGCUCUGCCAACAGCUGAUUUUGUAAAAACUGUGUUAAACCCUGGGUCCAGUACAUAGUUUGGUGUGAGGUGCAAAAGGUCUGAAUCUGUCUUAUUGAAACUACAAUGAAGACUUCUCUUCCCUUGGGCAGAACAGGGACACAGGUCUCAUAUCUGACUGUUGCAGGCUGAUGAUUUGUCUACCACUCUGUAAAGCAGGUACUAAUUGCAAAAAUCAGAUAAACGGGACUUAGAUCGGAUGACCUUAUCUGCUUGCAGGCACUUUAGUUGUAUUUGCAGAAAUCCACUGCAAAAAUUGAUUUAGAAGUUGUUUCCUACCUGUUUUAUCUUUGAACUCCAGCUUACACCAUCCCAACAUCACAAAACCUUCAGGCUUGAACAUACCAGAGGGGAUCUUUACGUUACCGCAUCUGACAGCCAAUUUUGCCAGUUUUAACUGGAAUCACGCGUGCACUUCCCAGCACCACACGUGGCAAAUGCUCUUACCUACACAGAGAUCUCUGUGUGUCCGUUCAUUUAGACACAUCAACUGUGCCCACAUCAGGGUUCAUGCCAAAGCAUGUGCGUGUGCAUGUGGUUUCUCAUCAUACAUAUUUUCACAGAAAUGAGGAUGUUAAGGGAGAAUGGACCUUUUCAUUUCUAGGAAGGACCUGAACCAUCAUAUUGUAUAUCGCUCUGGAAAAAGGAAGUACUGCAGUUUGGGAGAAAGUUUAGGGGCUCUGAAGAGGAUGGCCUCUUCAUGUUGGCGUAAUUCAAUUUCUCUGCUUACGGGAAGUUGCCCCGUUAGACAGCUUGAAGCGUGGCCAAGGACAGGUUGUAUAAGGCCUAACUGUACUCCCUUAUGAAACUCAGUAGCAAACCCCUUGACACCUUCAGCCUUGUAUUUUGGAUUUAUCACGUAUCACACAUUGUUGUGUUUCCUCAGGAGUUACAUUUUUCAUGGUCUUUUGCAAGAGUUCAAUGCCUUUGCUAGGGCACUGCAAGAACUUUCUUAUUCUGGGCUGAUGACAAGAGCUGUACUGGAUCAGACCAAGAACCGGUCGGUCUGGUGUUCCAUAAAGCAUUUCCUUGGGCUGCAGUGGUGGCAGAUGACUCGUGCGAAGCCCAGCUCAUACCAAAGCCAGCCUGUUGCACAGAGCCAGUGUGUGCGAGAGAGCAGCUUGUGAGCUGCCAUCAGGUGGGACCCACGUGCUGGGGUACGUGCAAUGGAGUACAUCUCAGCCCCCAAGGCACUUCCUGAAGGAGGUGGGGUGAUGCUUGCUGGUGACCUUGCUUCUGAGAUGGGAGAUCUUAAAUUUAAUGAUUUACAAAGUAUUAUUUUUGUUAUAACUAAUAGAUUCUUUUGGCACCCACACCCUUCGUCACUGCACUUUGGAUGUUAUUGGAGUUUGCCACUUCUGUUCUAGGGAAGAGUCUGUGGGCUAUUUGCUUCGCAGAAUGGAGUUUAGAGCCAAAGCAUGUACUGUAACCUGAGCCUCAAAGGUUUUCCAUGUUAUUAAGUAAGCAAGUUGGAGCCUGCCCCUCACUCCUUUUUUGAGGAUGACUAAAGCACUGAAAAUGCAACAUAUGCACACUGCCUAUAAACUGGCUUCAUAAAAACAUACCUGCAAUAGUGUAACUUUUAUGUUAGUGUCACGUGUGAGAAGAAUGUGUGAAGACUGGGAAAGUAUGCACAGUCUCAUCCUAGCGCUGUGUCUAAUGAUACUUAGAUAUGACACAUACCACUGCAGUGCGCAAGCUUCUGACUUUCUGGGCCAGCCUUGAAGAAGGAGGCUGAAGAGCAUUUGUCUCCUGUGUGCCAUUUGUCUUGUCAGCAGUGUGCUAAAAACAAACCUCUGUAUGCUUGCAGUGACGGCUGGAGUUGGCCCAGUCCCUCUGUGAGUGUGAUUAAGGCAUCCAACUUUUUGUGGUCUCUGAUAAGGUGGAAAUGUUUGUUAUGGAUGGCUCCGAUUUUUCUCCGGGGCAUUGUUGGGAAGGGCAGACUGGGACCUACACUGUGAACUUCCAUAACCUAAAAUUUCUGAAAUUAUUCUGUUUUAACUUAAAUUUGAUUUGUCUGGGGUGGAGAAGAAUCUCAAUUUAUUUUUAAUAAAAUUUCCAGGAAGUUUUUUUUUUUUUAAUUAACCAGUAAUAUAAUGACAGUAGUCUGAGACAGAAUUUCAACUUAGAAUACUUUUUCUUGAAAUCAGUGCUUUUUGUCUACUGUUCCCAUCCUCCUUUGCAACUCCAGAUAACGAGAGGCUGUACGUUCCUGAAGGCUGUUCUAAAACAAUCAGCCGGCAGUAGGGCCAACUUCUUACCUCAGCUGCAGUAACGAAUCCCUUUGAACAACGAGCAUAACACAGUAGGUAUGUGAGCAAUGCUCAGCCAUGCAUUGUGCGCCAGAUACUGGGCGGGCUGUGAAGCGGGCAGGUCUCCAAAGCUGGAACAGCAUUCCUGAUACGACUUUCCCAUGCCCGUCUCAAGAACUGUUACAAGAGGUGACAAUCGGGUGCCUGAGUGGAGCUUUUGCUCCCUCCUUCCCUUUGCUGUGCUCCUGAUAUCUCUCACGAGGGAAGUGAUAGGGGAGUACCGGGUCAUCUCAGUGCUUCUGUGAAUUCCCCUUUUCUUGACUGAUCCUCCUUCAUCUUGCUGUGCUGACUGCAAGAUCCCAGAGCACUGGGGUUGUGGCUGCAUGGGCAGAAUAAAGGCACAAGACAGAGUGGCCACAAAGCAAAAGCACAUUCUAUUGCUUGGACGUUUUGUUUCGCAAGGCCAAUGAGACAAACUGAAUCAUACUGUUUCCUCCCACACAGAAACCCCCUUCUGAUAUAGUUAUGUCUUGCAUACCUAAUAGCUUAGAUCAGCAUAAGACAACUUCUCUGCAAAGCUGAGGAAAGCCAUGCAUCCCAAGUGCUAGAGAAUGGUCAGAUGUCACCCUGUUCAGCUUCAUCUCCAUACUUACACCUUGGAUACUGACGCUGUCAUGGUGAAAAGUGCCAGAGGAAAAUGGUUUGAUGCCAAAAAAGUGCAGGGUGGCCGCUGGACUGCCAGCCUGAGCAGCAGGAUGGGAGCAACCUGUGCCCAGCAGCGCUCGUGCCUGGGGAUUGGGCUCUGGCAGGUGCACAUGCAGGGGAAAGGUAGGUGUGCUGCAAACUGUGGCUCUGGGUGCAGCUUUCUGUGAUCAGAGCUGUGUCUACAGGAAUACCUGGGGUGACGCAUUUGCUACAUUUCUAAGCACAAAGCUCUCCCAUACUAAGAUUUAUAUUUAAAAAAAAAAAAGAGGAGGAGAAACAAGCAUGUGGCAUGUGUCCCUGAGCUAGGAACCAUGAAGAGCCAUGCACAGCCAGGAAACGUGCCAUGCUGGCUGAGAGGAACCUGGGAGGGCUCCCUGCUUUCAAGUCCUCUAUCAACAGAUCAGAUGCUUGAAGAUUGCACCUCUCCCCAAACCCUCAUCUUCUUCUGCGGAAUAAUAAGCAAAUAGGUUUGAGCCCAUUGCCUGCAGGGAAAUGGUUUUGUAAUGGAAGGAGCACCCUGCACUAAAUCAACAAACAGGAGAAUGUCUGUGUUUGUUUUUCCAUGUGCUGGAGGUGAAGGUUGCAACCACGUGGGGGUUUCUCUCACAUCCUCUCCACUUGACAUGGGGCAGGGACAGGCACAGACACACACAAGGCUGUAUGGGAGUGUGUAAGUGGGAUCACAGACGCACUGAGCCAGCCUGGGCAGUGUCCUGGUGCUGUGCCAUUGCUUCUCCCCUGAGCCCCCACUUGUGCAGCCACACAGCGGUGCAUGGGGGAGUGCAGCUGGGCUACAGCUGACCGACAGAGACAAAAAGGAAGCUUUUUAUUUUUAACCCAUCUCAGUUCCCUGCUCUAGUUAACUCUGAGACCACACCAGUGCCUGCACUGGGAGCAAUACCAGCUCCUGCAGGUGGCACUGCCUAUGUGAGUGCUCGUGGCCCUCUGGCCCACGGCAAGGCAUGGCCUGCAGUACCUCAUUUACAUGCACUUACUUAGGUACUCAUGCACUUUCAUUAACACAGCUCAUUUCAAAUAGGGUGGGUAGGUUUGUUUAUUGGCUCUAAGUACUGAGCUACCGGUAUACUUUUUGUUCACGGUACGUUGGCACUGCUUUGUUGGCAUUGCUGAGGAGUGUGCCUUGCACAGGCACAAGCUCAGAGCUAAUUUGGAAAAAGAUGGUUAUCUGGGCAGGCAGAGGAUUGUUCUCCUCCCUCUGUUGCGUCCCAAAGACAGUACAUUAUUGGGAAGCUUUUCAUAUGCUUAGUGCACGGGGUAAGGACAGGAACGAGUUUAUGAUUGAAUCUUGACUUAAGCAGAUGUAUCUGCCUGGCCCAAGUAUUCCCAGCAUUUGAAUCAAUGGAUCAAAACCAGGCCUAUGGCACAAAGGAGUGCUCUAAGAGAGUAUAUGCUACAGAUGGCCCUCUCCAGACCUACUCCUGAUGCACAGUUAUAGAUGCCCAUGUGUUUUUCAUGUGUAUUUCCCAACAGCCCUCCUCAUUCCAAACAGGUAAAAAGAUGAUAGGUGUAAAUGCGUGCAUCUGUAUGUCAGAACAGGCACUCCUGUGCAUUUACAAGUAUGUGCAGACACAUGCAGAUAUGACUGUGCCCAUGCAGGUCCGCAUUACUUGUCACGUUUACACGCCUAUCCUGCCAUACAACCAACAUAUGCACGAGUUUGCUAUAAGAAGCCAAUUUUCUUUGCCUCCUGAAUUGCCAAAUGCUGGAACCCGCAGGCUAGCUGUUGUGGUUCCCUGAUUCCCAGGUUUCUUCUGCAGCCAGCUAAUAAGCAGCACUGCAAGAUUCCUAACAACAGGGAUGAACUUUUGUGUAAAUCACCUUCUAGGCAUUAGACUUUUCCCAGCAAAAGAGUGGGGCGGCUGUUUAGAGGAGGGAGAGUUGUUCCCUUUGAUGUGGGGAUUAGUUCACAUGUCAAUGUUAUCCCCUUUUUUUUAAAUAUGCUGUGAUUUACAGGGAGGGUGGCUGUGGGAGAUAGCCAAGGGGACACCCACGUGGGGCCGGCUGACAGACACCACCUCCCAGAAGAUACCUACAACUAAGGCAGCUGGCAUCGACAGAAAGGCUGCAAUUAUAACAACAACAGCAAAAAAUCUUAAAAAAUGACCUGCUUUGCCUAACAAAUCCUAUCUAAAACUUAGGAUGCACUUUAUGGAGCUGGAAAUGAGUUUCCCAGCAGCAGAAGGGGAGUCUCUUGCACAUCCAUAAUAAAGACAUUUAUAAAUGCAUUUUCUUUAAAAAAAAAAAAAAAAUUUGGUCUGUACUUCCCCAUUAGAGCAUACACCAGGAGCGAGAAUGAGUGUGGCUCCAAAAGCGAUUAUGCUCACUUGAAACAUACUUAGCAUCGUGACUGCUCUAGUUGGAGUCUCCACACUGUUCUGCAUGAAUCUUUUAUCAGCGCUUUAUGAAAACUUCACGUUUUGGUCAAAAGUUACGUAGUUGUUCUGCGAUCCAAUCUUUUGUCUAUUAGUGUUAGAGGAAGCUUUCCCGAUGCUGUUCAUGGGAACUGGAUAAGGCCGUGAGUCAUUACGCUGGGAGCUGUGUUCAGAGCAGCUUUGCUUAGCGUAUCUGCAUUGUUUAGGCUUAUUGCUUUUGUGCAGGCUGAGGCGCUGGCAAAGAAGACAGUGAUGCAUAAAUACAGUAAGAAAAGUUUUAGCUAGCUGUAUUUAAAGGGUCUGCUGCAUUUUGUUUCAAAAAAGUUCUAUUUCCUUCUGCCCUUUUCAACUUCUAAUACAUUUAUAUGCACAUUUCUUUUUCAUUGAAACUUUGAGACAUUCUAGUGAAGUAGCCCCUCUUUGUCUGUUUAAGAGAAACACAAAGCAGGAGGUUAAUUUCCAGCCAGGCCAGCAUCGGCGUCCCUCCCUGCACGGCUGUGCUGGUGCUGGGGGGACGAGAGCGUGGUGGCCCAGACUUCAGAGCUGUUGUAAGACUCUGCCCUACGCAAUCACUUUUCCUGUGUUGUUUAAGCUGCAGAGGUGACGCAGGGUCUUCCUCGGGUGUUUCCCACCGACUUCUCUCCUAUCCAGAUCCCCACAGCCCACGCUGCUCCACACACCGGCCCCUCCUGGCAUGUCAAUGGCAGCACAGCCGCUGCAUGGACACCGCACCGCGAUGGACAGACAAAAGCCACUUCACCGCUGUGACGCUCCUAGAGGCCUCCCGCAACCCCCCUGCUAUUCUCUCAGGAAUAAAGAGGUUUUUGUGCCACCCCCCAGGAGGGCAGGGCUGCUGCUGCCAACCGGAGCGUGACGCGCGGUGGGACGCACCCCACACAGGCUGCGGUGAUGUGGCCACGUUCAAGUGCGGGUAUCCAAAGAGACAGAGGCAUGCAGGGUUUCUGCUCUCCUUCAGAGGCGGCCCACUGAGGUAAAAAAAUCCAUAACAUUUUCUGCUUGUUUAUUCAAACUGCCAAACUAUUUGACUCGAUGGAUAUCAAGCAGUACCUUGCAGACGCCGCUUUGUGGAAGGAAAGACCAUUUGGUGGUUGCUAGGCUCCCCCAUUUCACCAUUUCCCAGAAAUGGAAAAGCCUCUCCCCCUGGUGUCCUGCCCUUCCUCUGGCACAGAUCACCCACACGUGCUUUCUAUGAACGUGUUGCCAUCGGUGUGCUCAGGCUGCAGUCUGGUCUCAUAGGAAGUCUGAACCUCUCCUGAAGGGUUACAUGCGCUUCUUGAAACAAGCAGACAGUACUGCCUGGUUAAACCCCAGCACUUAUGCAUGCAUUCUGGUAACAGUUUUCAGUGAGAAAAGUCAUUCUGGAGCUAUCCAGGUACACUCUUGUCUGUGAGCAGGGGGAUUUCUCAAGUCUCCCAUUUGUUCUGAGUUGGAAAUGUCCAACUUAAGGAAACUAUGUUAACAGCUGCAUGUACUGAAGAGUGAGUUAGACACUUUUCAGUAGUCAAAUUUGAGUGUAGAUCCCGAGACCAGAACUCAGAUGUUAUGAUUUGGGAGGUUUACAGUUAAAAAUUAAACAAUGUCAAUAAAAUAAAAAGCAACGAUCAGGCAGUCGGCCAGUCCUACAGAACAGGCUUAUGCUUUUGAAUGCACGAGAAAAGCAGAGAAUUUUAAAAAAUACUGCAGAUUUUAUUUAUCUAUGGUUUGGUUUUGGAAGCUGUGUUGGUAAUGAUGGAACUUACAGCAGAACAACCUAAGCAGUCUAUAACGUAAAACUUUGCCAUCUUUUCAUUUCACAUCACCAAAAUGCACGCACAGGGUACAGUUCAUGACCAGCCUGCCCCCUCCCUCCAAAAGGAGAACUGAAGCUGAAGCCAAACGCUCUGUUGAUUGUCCGGCGGGUUGGCCAUGUGAGCCCCAGAUGAACACUGGGCCUGCGAGCCAGCCACAAUGUCUGUCUUUGCAAACCUGAACCGCAGCCCAUGGGUCACUGCUGGCACAUGAGUGAAACGCUACCUGGAGGCGUCAGGUGGAGAAGAACGCUCAGAGAGAUACCUGCACUCCUUCACUUUAUGGCAACAGUAAGGAAAUGGCUGUCGUUGCCUGUAUAUCCAAAACAGCUUUUGAACAUUUCCGCUUUUUGUCCAUAUUUAAUAAAAAAAUCGCUUCCAUUUGAGUUUCUCCAAAAGCAUGCAUCUCCUCUGGGCCUCCCAGGCAGGAGGGGUGAGAAAGAUCUGUUGUUGUCCUCCCAGGUUGUGAGUACAGGCACCGAGCACCUGCAGUGCCAUCUAGACAUUGAGACUGGAAGCUCCAGGGAAAGGACUUGGAGAGCUCAGGGACUCUGGAAAUGCUGCAGCUCAACAGCCACCUUCUUUGCACCCUGCACCGUGCAAAGCCUCCCCGGGACCUGAUUAGGAAAACUCCGCAGGGGAUUCAUGGGAAGGGGCUGAGGUCAGGAGGGAGCAUUAAACCUUUGCACGGAACGUCUCAUGUGACUGAGCGGGUGGGCUGGUGGCCAUGCUCUCCAUUGGCAAGCAGCGGCUUGCGGAGACCUCGGGGUUAUUAGAUGGGAUUGUGGGAGAAUGCCAGCAAUGUGUGCGGAGCUGGGGGAUGAAAGGCAAGCCCGACUCAAUGAAUGAAUGAAGAAAUAUGCAUGCAAUUUGUGAAUGACUUUUCUCCCUUUGCUGAACCUGUGCACGAGUUUCUGCAGUGCUUGGUGAACGUCUGAGAGCAGUGUUUCGCUGCUGGGGAGGUCCCACCACCCCCUGGCUCUGUAUACCCAGCCACAGGGGAGGCUGUGGUGGCCCAGGUGAGGAGCCACCAGUGACACAAAGCAGCCACCACAUCCCAAGCACGGCAGCUGUUGCUGCUGGUGGCCAAACCACAGGCCACGGUGACCUGUGGCGUUUGAGGGGAAAGCUACAAGGAAGGCAUCCUGGAGCUAUCAGCACGUGCCAGCCAGCAGGCAGAGCUCACGGGGGCUGUACCCGUCACCUCCGUCAUGCUCAGGGCUCUCCAACCUGGCAAGAAGCUGCCCGAGAUGGCUGCGGGCGCGCAUGCUGGCAGUGCCUGAAGGGAGCAAUCCGCUCCCACAGCACGGGAGUUUGGAUAGCUGGAGUAGGGCAUUUGCCACUCAGAGACCAUGUCUCUGCAGCUCCCAGCUUGGCACGAUGGAGCCAUCUUUAUUAUCCUUCAGGGCUAUGGCUGCAAACAAAAAAUGCUUUCAUUUCAGUUUGGCGGUUGCUCAGGUUGUGUGUGCUCUGGCUGCUUCCUUAAUUACAGCGGCUGUUGACAGCUUCUCCUGAUAGAGACCCUCUCUUUGACCAGUCCCCACUCCCCCACUGAUUUUUGCAGUCGGGACACACAGCAAACUGGGACGAUGGUCUGUAAAAAUGAGCUCACUGUAAUGCAGCGGCUCCCAUGCCACAGCUACGCUGUGUUCCUCUCUUCUGUUCUCUCUGUCUGUACUGGUGCUAUUUCCUCUUUCUGGCUGUAAGACGUUUUAUUUAUGAGCGCUAGGUUUCCUGUUGCCUGCAGCUGCCUGUACUUUCCCCCCUCCAGCUUGCAGGGCUGUUCCAUUCAGCCCUCACCUCCGUUAUCCCCCUCACUGAGGUGCUCCCACCCAGCUCGAGCGAUGGUUGCCUUCCUAACACCUGACAGAGAGGAGACUGCUUGCAAACCCAAGCCGAGCCCAAAUCCAACGCAGGGAGAUGACACGCGGUGCUUCCCGGGGCGGCAGCAGCUCCCCUCUUGGCUCACACAUGGGGGAGGAAGGCAGCACUUGGGGCUGUGGCCGGUCUGCGGGGCUGCCACUCCCAGGGGUAUGGUUUGCCACAGAUUUUUUCACAUUGCGGACCACGUAGUGGUAAAAAUGAUGUGCGGACUUUCCACACGUGAGGUUCUUGUAUGACUCCCUUGAACUUUGUGGACAUUCAGCAUCCUCGUAGUAAACACAAAGAUUGCAUAUACGGAAAGUGAGGUCACAAAGGAAACAAAAUGUUUUACUGCUUUGAACGUGAUUUCUCAGCUGGAAGGACGGAGGAGGCAUGAGCUCUUUAAGUGCUGUUUAUUACCGGCAAGGCAUACUGGGAAAGCUCACUAGGAUGCACUGGGGAGGAGUGCUGGAUGUCAAUUCCGAUCUGUGGCAGGGAAUAGGGUUGAAGCAAUAUUCCCUCGCUCACAGUUAACAUACGAGGGGCUGCCCUAUUUUCAUCCCUUUUUCUAUCAUCUGUUUGCUGGGAGCUCAGGGCCUGAAAGCUGAGCAAGGUAGGUGCAGGCUCACAGGAGCCCGCAGGCAGGACGCAGUGUGCAGGGCUUUGCUGCGAUGCUGCUGCAGCCCAUUGGGGCACGGUUCCGCCAGCUGUGGCCGUGGCACACUGCAGCUGGAGCACCCUCCGACACUUUUCCCUUUGUGUCAGAGCUCUGAGAGCUGCCUGGAAACAUUAAAUGGGGAGCAGUCCUCUGACAUCCUCUAGGUAAGAUGGAAAUAGGAGAUCCUGACCAUGCGAGUUAUGAAAGCUCCCAGUGUGCUACCUGCAAGCCAGUGCUUUAACCCCAGCAUCCUGGCCAAAUUCCAGCUCUGCUAAUUACAUCCUGCCUAUGUGAAAAUUCCCCUGCGUUUGUACACAGCCCUUCUUCCCCGCUUGCUCUCAGCAGCUGGGCGGUGUUGCCAGGCGCAGCAAAGCGCUUGCCAUGUCUCAGCCCGGGCCUGGCCGCCUUUCAGAGGGAAUGAAGAGAGUGCUGUGCAAAGCAUCUGCGGGGACUCUGGGUCCUUGGCAGGGAUGGCUGCCGCAGCACUGCGGCUCACCAUGGCACGAACAGGGCAAAGGCCCUGUGAGGGGCUGCGGGGCUGGGCCACGGGGAAGGCAGCGGUGGCUGACGGGCUCCCAACCGGUUUUGCUCCCUUUUUCCUUCUCUUUCACUCAGUGACUCAUGUGGACACUGCUUUUGGCUCAUCCCUGUUGGAACUACUCUUCUCAGCUGUCCAUUAAUCGCCCUGAUAAAAACCUGACUCAUGCCACCGGAGAGGAACUGGCUGGGAUUAUCCCUCUCUUCAGAAGAGGGGCCAGAGAAUGGCUGCAGCAAUAGCUGUGGGAUUCUGAUAAGAAGUGUGACUCACAAAGAGAAGAAUAAUGAACUCAUAGGUAUUUAUACAGGAGAGUGGCUCACUGGCUCAUCUAUCCAAUGUUCUUGUCAGUCAAGAUCUCUCUCUGACUGUGAAAAUUUUACCACAGCCCUGCCUAAAUCCAUUAUGGGAGCACAAGCUGCAGGCUACUUGCGCCGAGGCACCGACUCCGCUGCCACAGCAGAGGUGGGAUGUGCUCAGAGCAGAGCAGUGCCUUGCUUUUCCUUUUCCCUGCUCACAUCCCACUCUGAUCUUUUCAGCAUCUUAAUCUCAUGGGAGAUGCUGUGAGAGGUCUCCGUGUUCCAAGGGGGAAAAAACAAGGUUAUGUCCAGGUGUGAUGCCAGCAUGUUCUCACUAUAUCCCAGAAAGUACAGCAAGUACAGCAAGACUUGAAAAUGCAGGGAUCUGUGCUGGUCUUGGUGUAAGAUAGAAAGCUGGGACUCAAAGACCUGAGUCCUCCUGCCACCCUGCCUGUGUGAUUUCAGGCAAGGCACUUACAACUUUUCUAGACUCACUAUCCCUGUCUUUAAACUGUAUUUAGUCCUUACUUCACAGAGCUGAGAAGAAGGGGAUUAAGCUUUAAUUCAUUAAUGUCUGUAACACAUUUUAGAACUUGGAUGGAAAUUUCCCAGGUUUUGCAGAGAGCAUUAAACAGCUUAUCUCCCUA